rnacentral:rRNA from 1 species
UACGGAGGGUGCAAGCGUUUAUCCGGAUUCACUGGGUUUAAAGGGUGCGUAGGCGGGCAUGUAAGUCCGUGGUGAAAUCUCCGAGCUUAACUCGGAAACUGCCAUGGAUACUAUGUGUCUUGAAUGUUGUGGAGGUGAGCGGAAUAUGUCAUGUAGCGGUGAAAUGCUUAGAUAUGACAUAGAACACCAAUUGCGAAGGCAGCUCACUACACAAAUAUUGACGCUGAGGCACGAAAGCGUGGGGAUCAAACAGG